UCAGGCGGGCGCGGAGCGGCGCGGAGUGACAAAGCCGCCGCUGCCGCCGCCGGGGGUGGGAGCAGCGCUCGCCCGCCCGCCCCUCGAUUCGCGAGGGCGUAAAAGUUUGUCUCAGCUCGAGCAUUCCUAGUGCCAACAUGCCCUCAGGUAAAGGUGGAAGUAAAUGGCCACGCUGUAUUGACAGAGGUAGGGUUUGUUUUUUAAUACUCGUUCUCACUUUAAGUCUCACCAGGGAGGGGUUUGGGAAGCACUGCGUGUUUGGGGGACGUUUUGCGCUUCCCGGUCUCUCCAGCCUACAAGUCGGGAGUCGGCGACCGCUUAGUGAUGAGAGAUGAUUUUAAAGAGCAGAAUAAAAGGCUUUCCCGUGUCUGCCCCACAGCCCCUCCAGCUCGAAUAAUGGAGAACUGUCAAUGCACUCCGCGAGCGGUGGCCCAUUGUAGCAGCUGAUGGCGAGGAGGCGACUGGGGGUGGCAGGGGCUCCUUGCCCUCGCCCUUAUGCCCAAAUAAACGCGCAAACGCGCUUACAUCUUCUGGUCAGUUAAAAGGUGAAACGAACACGAUUAAAGUAGACCAAAAGCAAAGAAAGAAAAGAAAAUCUUUCUACGUACAGAUUCUAAAUCGUACUCCCCAUACAGUCAGAGGCAGGCAGUCGAGGGCAGAGGCAGCAGGCGGAGAGAGGGAGAUAGGGUGAGGGAAGGAGAACGCGGAGAGAGACGGAGGGAGUGGGAGACGAGCAACAGCGAGCGCCAGGGCACCGCAGGCACACUGGAUGCCAGGUCCGCCGGCCCAGCCGCGCUCGGACCCUGGACCGUGCGUCGUGGGCACCAGAAACGAGACUCGGCCAAAUCCUGCCUCACCAGGUAGAUGAAAGUCAAGAGAAAAGGUGUGGAUAAAUGAAACUAGCCCAUGAUAAGCCUGUUUUCUCCGUGACCACAAUAUGAAGCAGGAUGAUGGUGGUGAAACAGUCACAAAUGGAAUAUCAAGAAACAUGCUAUCACCAGGUAUUAUCUACUGCUGUCUGCAGAAUUCAGACAUGGAGGGCUCAAUGGUGUCCCCUGGUCUUUGGAACAUUCUGUAUUUUAAUGAUCAUGAAUGAAGCAUACUGCAGGAUUCUGUUUAUUACAAGACUAUUUGCAAAAGACCUAUGCACCAUUCAUUGCACCUUGAAAAACACUUGAAAAUAUGGGUUGCAUUUGCAAACUUCAAUGUAUGACAUGGAAAUCUGGCAAGCUGCCUGGCAUCUACUUAAAGGAUUGUCAUUCUGGGAAAAAUAAAUUUCUCUAACUAGACA
rnacentral:lncRNA from 1 species